UCGGGAAACCGGAGCUAAUUCCGGAUAAUCCUUUUCCUCUCAUGAGGAAAAGCUGAAAGACGGCAUCUCGCUGUCACUUACAGAUGGGCCCGCGGCGCAUUAGCUAGUUGGUGAGGUAACGGCUCACCAAGGCAACGAUGCGUAGCCGACCUGAGAGGGUGAUCGGCCACACUGGGACUGAGACACGGCCCAGACUCCUACGGGAGGCAGCAGUAGGGAAUCUUCCGCAAUGGACGAAAGUCUGACGGAGCAACGCCGCGUGAGUGAUGAAGGUUUUCGGAUCGUAAAGCUCUGUUGUUAGGGAAGAACAAGUACAAGAGUAACUGCUUGUACCUUGACGGUACCUAACCAGAAAGCCACGGCUAACUACGUGCCAGCAGCCGCGGUAAUACGUAGGUGGCAACCGUUGUCCGGAAUUAUUGGGCGUAAAGCGCGCGCAGCCGGUCCUUUAAGUCUGAUGUGAAAGCCCACGGCUCAACCGUGGAGGGUCAUUGGAAACUGGGGGACUUGAGUGCAGAAGAGAAGAGUGGAAUUCCACGUGUAGCGGUGAAAUGCGUAGAGAUGUGGAGGAACCCCAGUGGCGAAGCCGACUCUAUGGUCUGUAACUGCCCCUGAGGCGCGAAAGCGUGGGGAGCAAACAGGAUUAAAUACCCUGGUAGUCCACGCCGUAAACGAUGAGCCUAAGUGUUAGAGGGUUUCC
rnacentral:rRNA from 1 species